rnacentral:rRNA from 1 species
AGAGUUUGAUCCUGGCUCAAGACGAACGCUGGCGGCGCGCCUAACACAUGCAAGUCGAACGAGCGAGAGAGAGCUUGCUUUCUCGAGCGAGUGGCGAACGGGUGAGUAACGCGUGAGGAACCUGCCUCAAAGAGGGGGACAACAGUUGAAAACGACUGCUAAUACCGCAUAAGCCCACGGCUCGGCAUCGAGCAGAGGGAAAAGGAGCAAUCCGCUUUGAGAUGGCCUCGCGUCCGAUUAGCUAGUUGGUGAGGUAACGGCCCACCAAGGCGACGAUCGGUAGCCGGACUGAGAGGUUGAACGGCCACAUUGGGACUGAGACACGGCCCAGACUCCUACGGGAGGCAGCAGUGGGGAAUAUUGCACAAUGGGGGAAACCCUGAUGCAGCGACGCCGCGUGGAGGAAGAAGGUCUUCGGAUUGUAAACUCCUGUUGUUGGGGAAGAUAAUGACGGUACCCAACAAGGAAGUGACGGCUAACUACGUGCCAGCAGCCGCGGUAAAACGUAGGUCACAAGCGUUGUCCGGAAUUACUGGGUGUAAAGGGAGCGCAGGCGGGAAGACAAGUUGGAAGUGAAAUCUAUGGGCUCAACCCAUAAACUGCUUUCAAAACUGUUUUUCUUGAGUAGUGCAGAGGUAGGCGGAAUUCCCGGUGUAGCGGUGGAAUGCGUAGAUAUCGGGAGGAACACCAGUGGCGAAGGCGGCCUACUGGGCACCAACUGACGCUGAGGCUCGAAAGUGUGGGUAGCAAACAGG